rnacentral:lncRNA from 1 species
CUCAACAUAAAAAUCCACUGCAUGAGGCAUAUAAAAUCAUAAGAAUUUUACUGUCAUGGUUCUCCUGUCAAAUUUUGUGCGACAUUGGAAAUCAACUUGUGCAAAUUGAUCGAAAGACUGAAUGAGAGAGCUGAAUGCAAAAAUGACACUUUCAGAAGGUUCCAUUCGGAUCAACAUUCUUAAUUACUUUGGGGUUCUUCAAAAUCUUCUGAAAGGAAUGUCUCUUAGAAAAGUCCUUUACGAUAACUGGGCAAACAUAAAUCAUUAUGUGUCCUUUUCUACCAAAUUGGCGCAUAUGUACCUUCUACUAAGCUUACCUUGCUAAUGAAAUUUUUAGCUUCAACAAAGACAUUAUGUGAUAUUUAUAAACAA